ensembl:lncRNA LINC02293 long intergenic non-protein coding RNA 2293
AUGCAGUAUUCAAGUUCAGAAAUCUAUACUCAGAUGACCUUAUGUAGGUCAUCUGCUUCUGAGGUUUAUCUCACCAGUGGUCCCAGAAGGCUGCAUAUGGAACUGACCUGGACUUAAUCUACAAGAUAGAUACCCCCAGCUAACCUGCAAACUCACAGAGUGAUGAUCAUAGAAACCUGUAUUAAGAAAACAGAUUUCAGGAGCCUUUGAACAAGAAGAGAGAGGAAGAAUGACAUAACUGAACAAGAGAGAUGGCGAGCAGAGUUUCCUGAAUGCUGUGAGCAGAACAAUUGGACAGAUGAGGGAAGUCUGUGACAAUCCAGUGGAAUCACGCAGUGUGUUUAAGUAAAGCUCCCUU